rnacentral:rRNA from 1 species
GAUGAACGCUAGCGGCAGGCCUAACACAUGCAAGUCAGGGGCAGCACGAAUUAGGUUUACUAAUUUGGUGGCGACCGGCGCACGGGUGCGUAACGCGUAUGCAACCUACCUUAUACAGGGGAAUAGCCCGGAGAAAUUCGGAUUAAUGCCCCAUAGUAUCAUUAGAUGGCAUCAUAGAAUGAUUAAAGUUUCGGCGGUAUAAGAUGGGCAUGCGUCCUAUUAGCUAGAUGGUAAGGUAACGGCUUACCAUGGCAACGAUAGGUAGGGGGCCUGAGAGGGUAGUCCCCCACACUGGUACUGAGACACGGACCAGACUCCUACGGGAGGCAGCAGUGAGGAAUAUUGGUCAAUGGUCGGAAGACUGAACCAGCCAUGCCGCGUGAAGGAAGAAGGAUCUAUGGUUUGUAAACUUCUUUUAUUUGGGAAUAAACCUCUCUACGUGUAGAGAGCUGAAUGUACCAAAUGAAUAAGCACCGGCUAACUCCGUG